AUGCCCGCUUCAGCAGCACAUGUACUAAAAUUGGAAGGCCGUACAGACUAGCAAGGCCCCUGCACAAAGAUGACAUGCAAAUUCCUGAAGUGCUUCUCAUGUUU
ensembl:snRNA U6 U6 spliceosomal RNA